rnacentral:rRNA from 1 species
GCUGCAUUUGAUCGAUCCUAGCUUAUCUGGUUGUGAAUCCAACAAAUAUGUUGUUUGGUUUGUCUGACUGAUGAGUGACCAUUGAUUUCUAGUAGGUGCUGAUUUGUGGGUCUGCUCUGACAUUAGAAGUUGGCUUUAUCCGAAGACUUUGUGUUCAAUUGCUUGGUGCCUUUUGAUUCGUCUGUCAUUGAGAAGUUUGCACUCAGAGCAAGAAAGCCAACAUCAAGUUGUGGUACAUGAUGUCGAGGAA